UGCUGCCGCGAGGCUGCUCCCCUCAAAUGCAUCGGUUGGACCUGUGGGUCGAACUCGACUGGGCGUUGUACCAUCCUCGCUCUUAACCGAGACGUUCCCCUUUGUCGUGUCCCUCCAUAGACCUGCCCGUAGGAGUCGGCGGUCAACACACUUUUUGAAAUUCUGACCUCAAAUCAGGUAGGACUACCCGCUGAACUUAA
rnacentral:misc_RNA from 1 species